rnacentral:lncRNA from 1 species
UCUCAUCAUCUUGCAAUGUACCUAUCUUGCGUAACUGUCCUUCAAUAUCAUAUAAUCUUUUUCUUUCUUUUUUUUUAAAAUCAUCAACUUUCUUAUACAUAAUAUUUCCAUUCUCCAAUAUACCAAUAAAACUCGCAUCAAAGGCACCUUCAUCUCACGAGAGUACCUCCUCUUUUGUACCUCCAUAAUCUCGCUUUACAGUGGUACCUCCCCAAAAUCCUUAAAUCCUUCAACAAUCUUUGG